rnacentral:rRNA from 1 species
GGCGUGCUUAACACAUGCAAGUCGAACGGAAAGGCCCUGCUUUUGUGGGGUGCUCGAGUGGCGAACGGGUGAGUAACACGUGAGUAACCUGCCCUUGACUUUGGGAUAACUUCAGGAAACUGGGGCUAAUACCGGAUAGGAGCUCCUGCUGCAUGGUGGGGGUUGGAAAGUUUCGGCGGUUGGGGAUGGACUCGCGGCUUAUCAGCUUGUUGGUGGGGUAGUGGCUUACCAAGGCUUUGACGGGUAGCCGGCCUGAGAGGGUGACCGGCCACAUUGGGACUGAGAUACGGCCCAGACUCCUACGGGAGGCAGCAGUGGGGAAUAUUGCACAAUGGGCGGAAGCCUGAUGCAGCAACGCCGCGUGCGGGAUGACGGCCUUCGGGUUGUAAACCGCUUUCGCCUGUGACGAAGCGUGAGUGACGGUAAUGGGUAAAGAAGCACCGGCUAACUACGUGCCAGCAGCCGCGGUGAUACGUAGGGUGCGAGCGUUGUCCGGAUUUAUUGGGCGUAAAGGGCUCGUAGGUGGUUGAUCGCGUCGGAAGUGUAAUCUUGGGGCUUAACCCUGAGCGUGCUUUCGAUACGGGUUGACUUGAGGAAGGUAGGGGAGAAUGGAAUUCCUGGUGGAGCGGUGGAAUGCGCAGAUAUCAGGAGGAACACCAGUGGCGAAGGCGGUUCUCUGGGCCUUUCCUGACGCUGAGGAGCGAAAGCGUGGGGAGCGAACAGGCUUAGAUACCCUGGUAGUCCACGCUGUAAACGGUGGGUACUAGGUGUGGGGUCCAUUCCACGGGUUCCGUGCCGUAGCUAACGCUUUAAGUACCCCGCCUGGGGAGUACGGCCGCAAGGCUAAAACUCAAAGGAAUUGACGGGGCCCCGCACAAGCGGCGGAGCAUGCGGAUUAAUUCGAUGCAACGCGUAGAACCUUACCUGGGUUUGACAUGGAUCGGGAGUGCUCAGAGAUGGGUGUGCCUCUUUUGGGGUCGGUUCACAGGUGGUGCAUGGCUGUCGUCAGCUCGUGUCGUGAGAUGUUGGGUUAAGUCCCGCAACGAGCGCAACCCUUGUUCACUGUUGCCAGCACGUUAUGGUGGGGACUCAGUGGAGACCGCCGGGGUCAACUCGGAGGAAGGUGGGGAUGACGUCAAGUCAUCAUGCCCCUUAUGUCCAGGGCUUCACGCAUGCUACAAUGGCUGGUACAGAGAGUGGCGAGCCUGUGAGGGUGAGCGAAUCUCGGAAAGCCGGUCUCAGUUCGGAUUGGGGUCUGCAACUCGACCUCAUGAAGUCGGAGUCGCUAGUAAUCGCAGAUCAGCAACGCUGCGGUGAAUACGUUCCCGGGGCUUGUACACACCGCCCGUCAAGUCAUGAAAGUUGGUAACACCCGAAGCCGGUGGCCUAACCGUUGUGGGGGAGCCGUCGAAGGUGGGACUGGUGAUUAGG